CUAUGUUGGUUGUCCCUACCUUUGAGACAUGGUCAAUUUGUUAAAUACUAUUCAGACUACAACAUCUUCACUUGAGUAGAUCUCUAUAAAUGCUCUCAUGCUACCUUUAUUUGCUUUAGUAUAUGUCUAGGUUUGGAGUAGUUAUAUUUAUCUCUUAAUUAAGCAUGGUGCUUAGUUUAGGGUUGAUGAUCUUACUUCCAAGGGAGUUUAAAUUAAGCAUGAUGCUUAGGUUAAAAUGCCCUCCUAAAUCAAAUUAGACAUGGUGUCUAGGUUGAUCUUUGAGCCAAUAGUAUGCUAUAGUAGAUAUUGGAUAUUUUGUUGGACUAAUCCCUGCAGGAAAACUUUCAAUAUCGACCUGGGAAGUCCUGAGAUAAACUCAUAUUGGAGACAAAGAGAGAGAUGCAUGAAGGUUAACAAUUUACACAAGGAAGGCAUAGCACACAAGAGAUGAUCCAUAGAGGGUGCUACAAAUACGAUGCACAACCGCUAAGAAAGGAAAGCUUCCACAAGGUGAUAAUGUACCAUCACCCUUCAAGUAAGGUAACAUCUUAAGGUUCUUGACUAUCACUUUUUAUAAGCUUCUCAUUGGUUCUGGCGUUCACAUGAAUAAAAGAGACAAACAUGUAUGAUUUACAACUCUAGAUUAACCAACCCAGUCAAUUCAAUAUGUUUAGUCCUUCCACCUUUGUGACCCCACACUCCUAAUCAUAUAAGCUAAAAUGUUGCACGCUCAAUCUUUGGAUGUGUUGAAUAGUUGCUUUGCGUAAUUUUAAAAUUUGAGUUCUCUCUCAAGUUUAGACAUAACUGUUAUAAUUUAAAAACUAGCUCUAAACCUUAACUUGUGGGAAAGAGAACUUGAUCUGAAGUCUAAGUUGUUAACGGAUACGAUAUGGGAAGGUUGAGCUGCUAUUUAUCUGUUCCUAGAGAUGCUAGAAUUCUGGAGAAUUUUAUCCUUUAAAUCUUUAAAAUAACACAUGAUGAGUUCCUGUAUGAUGAUAGUUUAAAUUUCUACCACAGCCAUAUAUACAUGCUUUCUAGACUUUGAGCCACACAUUUACUUUUUACUGCUUAUGAGCAUUAAGUGUGGUCAAGCUGUGUAGACCCUUAGGAGCUUGUCAUGUGGUUAAAUCAAGAUUCACUUGCACAUUCACUCACACAUGUAGCUUCUACACCAGAAGUAUGCAUCCAUAUAUAUCCACUCAUUUCCAUCUCCAGAGCCACUCAAAAGUAUUCUACUCCUAAUCCGGGAGAGAAUAGCCAAAAACAUUUUUGUUUUUCCCUAUAAUAUAUAUGCUCGAGUUAUAUUGGUUACUACCAGUUGCUAUAUUAUUUCAUGAGAUGAGUGCUCUAAAAAAAGAAAAAAAAUAAUAAAUACGAGGAAAUAAAAAGGAGCAAGUGCCCGGAACCUCGAAAGAAAAGAAAAAGUGAGACUGUUGACGGUCCUUAAUGCUCACAUUUAACCGUCAACUAAUCAUGGAAAAGGAUCAAAAUGCAACCAACACCCAGACUUAGGGUUUUAUCUGACAGAAUUCUACGAGUUUUGGUGUUUGUCUAUUUCUACAGGGGGUUAUCAGGAAAUAUGGAGGAAAGGCCCACACAUCAGCUUUACAUAGAGCUAUUAACGUGCCGCGUAAUUUUUCUACCAUCUAGAAGACUCCAGAAGCCACGGGAACGAACGGGAAGGCAAUCGGGCUCGGAGGCAGGGCGCCCGCCCUACUCUCCUGGGCGCCCGCCCACCUACAGUGCCCAAACAGAGUCCUUUUCGAAGAUCAUGUUCCACCGACCUAAGGGAUCAAGGAAAACCGUGUGAUUAAUGUCGGUUUGAUCCGACGGCCCAGAUUCAUCUUAAAAGACUAUAUAAGCAAGGCCCCCUGGCCCCUGGAGAUCAUACCUCUUGUACAGAAUCAAAGUUAGGGUUUCAAUUCUUCAUCCAAGUAGAGAGGAUCCCUCUAGUUCAUCUAGUUCUACCUCUAGUUCAUCUAGUUCUAGUUCUAGUUCAUCUAGUUCUAGUUCUAGUUCUUCUAGUUCUAGUUCUAGUUAGUUCUAGUUGUAAUCUAGAAAAUAGGGAGAGAGAAGAGGAGAGCGGAGGAAGAGGAGCCGGAUCUGUCGGAUCUUCCUCAACAUUUUACUUUUGCAGCAACUGGUUCGUUCUUCAUCGUUCUCCAGGUUCUUCAACUCAUAAUUCCUGAUUCUUUAAUUACUUUUAUUUACAUUCAAGUUAUUUAUUGGAUUCCCGCUUGCAUCAAGUGCUCUAAUCUUUGCAACAUUAGAGUAGUAAUUAAUAGAUUAGACAUGGUGUUUAGUCUUGUAAUUACCUGGAAUUGCACCCAAUCCUGCGCAUUGUUGUGGUAGCCCUAGGGUAGUGACAGCCCUAACGGUCGACGUAUUCCACUUCGUUCCGAUCGGUGUUUGUAGGACCGUAGUCAGAGCUUCCUAGCCCCCUUCUCAUCUCUUUCUGUGGUUAGUGUUCUGAUGUCCCAAAAUAAAUAAUCUUUGAAGUAAUUCUUGAUUCUUAGAUCAACUAGAAAACUCUUAGGAAACUUCCUCUCUUCCCACCAAAAAAAAUUAUAUAGUUAUCCUUGGGCGAUCUUGAAUCUUAAUUAGUACACUCACGUUCCCUGUGGAAAAUCGAUACUCUGGAAUACUCCCGGGUGAAGGCUACAUCGGCAUCCGUGCGCUUGCGGAUUUUUCUGUUUGCGUUUAAAAUACCCAACAAGCUUUCUAGCACCGUUGCCGGGGAACAAUAGUUGUGCUAGUUUCGAACCAAGUCGUCCGUGUAUCCUUUUUCUUUUCUUUCUUUACCACAUUUACCUUACCAUUUUCACCACACCACAUGGAUUUCACUCCAAGCAUUAAUGAGCAUAGAAUUUAUUUCAUAGCCACUUCAUUUACUCCAUGCUCAUACGCUAUAUCUUCACAAUCCAUUGGUCUCUCCAACAUCACCACAUUCGAGAUCUCCAACCCCCUCUUCCUUUCUAUUUAUAAAAACUUUAAAAGGGCGGUUGUCGAUGCAUAUGUCUAUAAUAAAUUUUACAGAUCUCGUUGAGUUGAUCUUGAUAUAGGUUAGCAUUGGAGGGAAACCACUUCGCUGACAUAAAUUGAUGGUUUCCCAAGGACAAGCUUAGUGUCCUAAAAUAAGCACUGAUCAGAUCGUAACAUGAGCUUUUAAUUAUUUGCAACAUUACCUUGUGUUUUGAGCAUAUAAGGAUAAUUGUAAAAAAAUCCUUCGGGUAUUCUUGUCACUAACCAUUCCAGGAUUGGAGCAAGAAGAUCGGAUGAACGACAAGCACAAGGUAUGUCCAACCAAUCAUCAUACAACAUUGAAUUAAAUUCAUCCAAACUUGAAUUUUGCAAAAUUCAAGCUUGGGGGAGUACUUUACAUUAAAAACAUCCUUUGCCAUGUUGCUAUGUUGGUUGUCCCUACCUUUGAGACAUGGUCAAUUUGUUAAAUACUAUUCAGACUACAACAUCUUCACUUGAGUAGAUCUCUAUAAAUGCUCUCAUGCUACCUUUAUUUACUUUAGUAUAUGUCUAGGUUUGGAGUAGUUUCAUUUAUCUCUUAAUUAAGCAUGGUGCUUAGUUUAGGGUUGAUGAUCUUACUUCCAAGGGAGUUUAAAUUAAGCAUGAUGCUUAGGUUAAAAUGCCCUCAUAAAUCAAAUUAGACAUGGUGUCUAGGUUGAUCUUUGAGCCAAUAGUAUGCUAUAGUAGAUAUUGGAUAUUUUAUUGGACUAAUCCCUGUAGGAAAACUUUCAAUAUUGACCUGGGAAGUCCUGAGAUAAACUCACAUUGGAGACAAAGAGAGAGAUGCAUGAAGGUUAACAAUUUACACAAGGAAGGCAUAGCACACAAGAGAUGAUCCAUAGAGGGUGCUACAAAUACGAUGCACAACCGCUAAGAAAGGAAAGCUUCCACAAGGUGAUAAUGUACCAUCACCCUUCAAGUAAGGUAACAUCUUAAGGUACUUGACUAUCACUUUUUAUAAGCUUCUCAUUGGUUCUGGCGUUCACAUGAAUAAAAGAGACAAACAUGUAUGAUUUACAACUCUAGAUUAACCAACCCAGUCAAUCCAAUAUGUUUAGUCCUUCCACCUUUGUGACCCCAC
rnacentral:lncRNA from 1 species